rnacentral:antisense_RNA from 1 species
GACGAGAGAGAGAGUGACAGAGAGAGAGAGAGAGAGAGAGGGAGAGAGACAGUGACAGAUAAAAGAGAGAGACACAGAGAGAGAGAGACAGUGACAGAGAGAAGAGAGAGAGAGACAGGAGAGAGGGGAGAGAGAAGACAGAGAGAGAGACAGUGACAGAGAGAAGAGAGAGAGAGACAGGAGAGGGGGAGAGAGAAGACAGAGAGAGAGAGACAGUGACAGAAGAGAGAGAGAGACAGGAGAGAGAAGAUAGAGAGAGAGAAGAAAAGAGGGGGAGAGAGAGAAAGAGAAAGAGAAAGAAGAGAAAGAGAAAGAGAAAGAGCUUGCGGCCCCACCGCCCAGUCCCCGAGGGACCUAGCGUCUGGGCCGGGCAGGGCUCGGGUUUGGGCUCACCUUCCUUUCAGCAAAAAGCAAGUUUCGGCCCCUUCUCUUCCCGCCAGCCCAACGGAAGUCUUCCCCACAGGGCACAACUAUUAUGAGGAUCAACACACCCAGCUGAAACAGCUCAACUUCCUCAUCACACAACACAGUUCUGGCCAGUUAGACACACGUCCCCGGAAAGGGCAUCUCCAGGAGAAUAAAAAGGCCAAGCCAUUUUUUGAAGAAAGUCUUUGUCCCUACCCCCUUUUUCUACCUGGCAGUCAGACUGAGGCCUGGAGUGUAGCGGCCGCCUUGGUACGUGGAAGCAACCAUCAUGGCCGGGAGACCUUACACCUGGCAUGGUAGAGCAGACGGAGGAGGGGCUGCCUGGUGAAUAGCCUGGCCAACAGCCCCAAACCGCUACCCCUUAAAUUCUGGAUUUCAGGUGACUGCUGUAACUUGAAGCAAGAAAAGUGAAACUACAGAAAAGGGAGGGCCACUGGACUGCUGCUUUCAUUCUACGCCCACUUUUUAGAGUGCAUUCCCACAAUAAGCACUCUAACAAUGUAAACC